ACCUGAAAACAAGCCAAUUU
rnacentral:snRNA from 1 species